rnacentral:rRNA from 1 species
GAUGAACGCUGGCGGCGUGCCUAAUACAUGCAAGUCGAGCGAACAGACGAGGAGCUUGCUCCUCUGACGUUAGCGGCGGACGGGUGAGUAACACGUGGAUAACCUACCUAUAAGACUGGGAUAACUUCGGGAAACCGGAGCUAAUACCGGAUAAUAUAUUGAACCGCAUGGUUCAAUAGUGAAAGACGGUUUUGCUGUCACUUAUAGAUGGAUCCGCGCCGCAUUAGCUAGUUGGUAAGGUAACGGCUUACCAAGGCAACGAUGCGUAGCCGACCUGAGAGGGUGAUCGGCCACACUGGAGCUGAGACACGGUCCAGACUCCUACGGGAGGCAGCAGUAGGGAAUCUUCCGCAAUGGGCGAAAGCCUGACGGAGCAACGCCGCGUGAGUGAUGAAGGUCUUCGGAUCGUAAAACUCUGUUAUUAGGGAAGAACAAAUGUGUAAGUAACUAUGCACGUCUUGACGGUACCUAAUCAGAAAGCCACGGCUAACUACGUG